GGCGCUAGGGCUUGCAUGUGUGACACAUGGCAUCCCAAAGAAUUGCAUGCUUGACACUUCACUUCAGUUUUGCUUGCAUGUUUGACACAUCACUUUUGUCUAACUUGCAUGUCUGACACAUCACUUCUGACUUGCCUGCAUGUGUGACAUAUCACUUCUGUCUAGCUUUGCAUCUUUGACAAAUCACUUACCUAUUAAAGUGUCUUACUAUCUACAUCC
rnacentral:lncRNA from 1 species